rnacentral:rRNA from 1 species
AGAGUUUGAUCCUAGCUCAGGAUGAACGCUGGCGGCGUGGAUAAGGCAUGCAAGUCGAACGAAUUGCUUUCGGGCAAUUAGUGGCGAACGGGUUAGUAACACGUAGGAAUCUCACCCAAAGUCUGGGAUAACUCGGAGAAAUCCGAGCUAAUACCGGAUAGUCCCGCAAGGGUAAAGUUUUUCGCUUUGGGAAGAGCCUGCGUCCUAUCAGCUUGUUGGUGAGGUAAAAGCCCACCAAGGCUAUGACGGGUAGGGGAUGUGAGAGCAUGGCCCCCAACAAUGAAACUGCGACACGGUUCAUACACCUACGGGUGGCAGCAGUCGAGAAUCUUCCACAGUGGGCGAAAGCCUGAUGGAGCGACGCCGCGUGAAUGAUGAAGCUCUUCGGAGUGUAAAAUUCUUUUCUAAAGGAGAAAUCUUUUAGAUGAUGUUACUUUAGGAAUAAGGGGUUGCUAACUCUGUGCCAGCAGCAGCGGUAAUACAGAGACCCCAAGCGUUAUCCGGAAUUACUGGGCGUAAAGCGUGAGUAGGCGGUUUUAAUAGUGACUGGUUAAAUUCCGGGGCUUAACCUCGGAACUGCUGGUCAAACGUUAAAACUAGAGCAAAUGAGAGGCUGAUGGAACCUAUCAAGUAGGGGUGAAAUCCGUUGAUAUGAUAGGGAACACCAAAGGCGAAGGCAUUCAGCUGGCAUUUGGCUGACGCUGAGUCACGAAAGCGUGGGUAGCGAACGAGAUUAGAUACCUCGGUAGUCCACGCCGUAAACGAUGCUAACUCGCCGUUUGAAGUAUCGACCCUUCAAGUGGCCAAGCAAACGCGUUAAGUUAGCCGCCUGGGAAGUACGGUCGCAAGACUAAAACUCAAAGGAAUAGACGGGGACUUGCACAAGCGGUGGACCAUGUGGUUUAAUUCGACUCUAAGCGAGGAACCUCACCAGGGCUAGACAUCCUGAUGAAAGCCUAAUGAAAGUUGGGCCCUCUUCGGACAUCAGGGUCAGGUGUUGCACGGUUGUCGUCAGCUCGAGUCUUGAGAUGUUCCCUUAAGUGGGGUAUCGAGCGCAACCCUCAUCCUAUGUUAUACAUGUCAUAGGAAACUGCCUCCGUAUAGGGGGAGGAAGGCGAGGACGACGCCAAAUCAGCGUGGCCCUUUGACGCCCUGGGCUACACACGUGGUACAAUGGCCAAGACAAUGGGUUGCCAAGCCGUAAGGCGGAGCUAAUCCCAUCAAACUUGGUCCCAGUUCGGAUUGAAGGCUGCAAUUCGCCUUCAUGAAGCCGGAAUCGCUAGUAAUCGCGAAUCAGCCAUGUCGCGGUGAAUACGUUAUCAAGUCUUGUACUCACUGCCCGUCAUACUAGGGAAGCCGGUAGUGCCCAAAGCCUCUCUUUCGAGAGGGUCUAAGGCAAGAUCGGUAACCAGAGUAAAGUCGUAACAAGGCA